CAGAUCUAGAAAGGAAACAUGACGUUAUAAGAUUUAUCUUAGUACAGUCGGCAGAUCAUUUGUUUAAGGUCCUCAGAAAGAUCAAGGUCGUUUGCUUAAGGUCAAAGAUUUCUUCAACAAAUCAUAGAGAAGAAUAUCUUGAUUAAUAUUCAUGCCCUUGUUCAAAAUCAAAUUUUUAUGCUUAUUUCGGUACCGUUAAAACAACAUCGAUAUCUAGCUUUUCCAUUAACUUGUUAUUUUGCUUGCUUUGAUAUCUGCUUUACAGUCUUGGUCUGAAUAUAGACAAUCUGCCAAUUGUUCACAAUCAAGACAUAAAGCUUUACAAAUGAAUAGAAGCCUUGGAUACAAAAAUGCUUUCAGAAGGGAAAUGCAGAAAAUUAGCAAAACAAAGCAAGGGAGUGGGAAAAAGCUUGAUGAUUGUUCACAAAUUUCACAGACCUGGCUAAAGAUGUUAAUGGCAAACAUUCAUCGCUGCCUCCGCGACACUUAUUUCCAACAUAUUGUAAGUGAUAACAAAAACAAAAAAUUAGCAUCAAAAUAGUUGUUCCAAAGAUACCUCAUGAAGAACAUGGAUGGAAGUAUGAACAAGAGUAUACGAUUUCACCAAUUUGGUUCACCGGAUCACAGUUACAAUGAGUGGCCUUGACUAGGGGAAGGAAAGAGUUUCGUACUAAAGGAAUCUGCUGGAAAGGAAACUCGAGAAAUGGAAAGACUUGAAGAUGAAACUGGGUACAAUGCCGACAAUGAGAAUGGUCUAAACGAAAACGAUGAUGUCUUGAAUAAUGAUGUCUUUCACCUGAUGUCUCCGACGCUAACGAUAAUUAGAGAGGUUGAGAGGUUUCUGAUUUACGUCGUCGGAUGGCUCGUGUGGCGAAUGGCUGCCAUUGAAAGAUAAAGCAUGUGAAAGAUAAGUGUAAUCUUCUUAAUUUGAUUUUUUUAAUCUUUAAAAAAUGCUCAUUACGCGCAGGGGCGGAUCUAAGCAACAAUUAUUGGGGGGUUGUUAGACACUAAUUUUGGUGCCACACCCUUCAGGUCACUGGUAAAUUAUGGAAACGCCCAUUUUUAAAAUUCCGUGUUUAACUUCAAGGUAAAGACCAUAAGAAGCAGAGGAGAAACUCUUUGCUAACCACACCCUUAAGAAUUAAGGAAAAAUCCUCAUUUUGCACAAGCGUUUGGAAAAGCUAUGGUUUUUUUACGUGGCGAUUUCGCUUUAUACAACGUCAUAUCUUGCUUUUUGUGGCUGACCCCAUUCUACAACUGCCUAUUUCCUUGACAAUUCAUCUAACGCUUACAUUCUGAAUUGUGUCAGGCAAGGAUGUACUACGUGUAAAAACUGAUUCUCCGCAAUUUUAAUCAAAUAUCUAAAAAUAACAAACAGGAUUCAAAUGUUUUAAACUAAUUCCGUUCGCCUUGGAGCAAAAUCCCCGACAAGAAUUUCAGAAUCCAAUUUUUUUCAAGGAUUGAAGCGCUUUAGCAUUUUAGUUUCUAUCUUAUCGGGAUUAUCUAAAGAACAUGAAAGACUUUUCUAUUUAAAUCCUAUAACGUGGGACAAAUUGUUGAACAUUCUGUAGAGUUAUAAAUGAGGGUCCCUGUGCGAGCGAAGCGAGCAGAAAAUUUUUGCGACGACGCCCUUCAGAUUAGCUUGAAAUACAUUUCAGAAUAUUUCUUACAGUCGUUUGCAGUCUUUAAAAACGUUUUAAUAUUGUCUGAAAUAUAGAGUUCCCUUUAAGGUACUAAUUCUAUUGCAGAUUUGUACUAUUCUCAGACAUUUCUGAGCGGCCGCUCCCCUACCCUGGAUGCCAGAGCCUUUAGCAAUUCCUUCCCCCGUUCUUCAUCCUUUGGCUCUCUGAGGCUCUGGCACCCAGGGUACCGCUCCCCUUGCCUCCCCCCGCUACGCUACUGAUAAGAAGAUAAAUGCUGAUAUUAAGGAGAUAAAUCAAGUAAAAUCUUGGCGUUAAUUUGUUACUGCUGACUACCAAAAAAUGGCUUUUGCCGAAGGAGACAGAAAUAUUGGGGGAUGUCGCACCCCCUUCUCCCCCCCCCCGCUAAGUCCGUCCCUGAUUACGCGAGAACCUCACAUGCAAAAAAUAUAAGUGGAUGGACGAUUAGAAUUUAGAAAAUUGCAUUAUUACCCCCUGGAAAUGACGUCAUCAAUCAUCAAAACUGAUUUUUUCUAAUAAAAAUGCACAUCAAUAAAAUUGAUAAAAUUUCAGUCAACAUAAAUGACGAAAAUUAGCCCCUUAAUAUAUACAUUUUUGUUUGUGAUGAAUGUUUGCCUGAUAAUAUCUAAGACUAAAAUACUGAUGACGUCAUCAUUUACGACCCCCUACAUUGGUAAAAAAAUUAAAAGGCUUGAUGUACGUCGCAUGUUCUAAAUAGCUAAAAUUUAUAGAGAAAUUUAAGGCUAUUUGGUUUUGUGAUUGAUUUUUCACCUAAAAAUGGAUAUCGUUAAUGGUGACUUCAUCAUUUACUAGCUUCCCUGGGAAGUUACAAAAAAGUCAAAUAUGCUAAAUACCCUUUAUAUGCUAAAUAAUCAAAAUUACUUGAGAGAUUUAAGGUUAGGUACUUGGUUAGAUUUUUGUAAUAAUCUCCCUGUUUAAGUGCCUCGGAGUGAGGAGCAACAUAAAUCGCCUUUUUUUUGAAUUCUGGCUAAAGCAACAUAGGAAUUACUUUUACCAAUGUACCAAUGCUCCGCCGAACCCCAAUGUAACUACAGAGAACGCAAUUGCAAACUCUUGGUUGCGUAAAUGCAUUUUUAAUACCAAAUAAUCAUAUCACAAAAAAUACUGUUCCAAGAUAUCACCCUUCCUUCAACAUAUUCUCAGUUCCAAGAUAUUACCCUUUCUUUACCCUGGGUGCCAGAGCCUCAGAGAGUCAAAGGAUGAAGAACGGGGGAAGGAAUUCUCCUUCGCAUUUACUUUCCCCCGUUCUCCAACUUUUGACUCUCUGAAGCUCUGGCACUCAGGGUACCCUUUCUUUAACAAUUCAGUUUUAACACAAAAUCGACAGCUUAAGAGUCCCCCUCCCUGGCGCUGCCUUUGCGAUUACAUUUUUUUAGAUACUUUUUUCUAGAUUUUGAAUCAAUCAAUUGAAUCGAAAUUCCCUUCUCAUUCGCUUAUCGUAAAUCUUUGAUAAGAGUGGCAAAAUUUCUGCGAGUGGUUAGCAAUGUAUCUAUUUGUCGAAAUUAUGAGCACGAAGAGCUCAACCAAUAUCAUUUAGGGCUUUGUAGGUUGUUACAAGCAAAAAAUACGUUUUUAUGCUUUUGGCAUACGUAAGAUUAACAAGCGUGCCUUGAAAAGCUUUCUUACACUUAUGCGCAAUUUUCCACACGCUAAUAAGUUUAUUCCUGGGUAGACGAGUCUUUUAGUUUCCUACUGUUUAAGGCUAUUAUUUCAUCCAUUUAUCUGAGCCAACGAGUAAAUCCAUCAUUUCCACAUACGCAUUUGAGUGAAUGUUUAUGGAAAAAAUUGCAUCUCAUGGCGCUUACAGCAUUUAAUCAAACUGUAUCACUAAUCCAACUAUAUUUUUUUAACAACAAUUUCUCCGUAGAAAUUUUAUUAACAGUGAAAUGGAUUAUCAUAUACACACUUAAUGAUAACAAAGUAAGCGCAAAUUGUAGCGUGAAAGUUAAAGGAAAUUAGUUGCUGAAACUAACUUUUAUGGGUUUUGCGUUUUUGUGUGAAUCCAAGAGCAUCUUUUUGCAAAAAACCAAUUAUAGGUUAAUCUGCAAAAGUGGACUAAAGCAUCUUUUGAGCUCCUCAUAACAAUAAUUUCAAUUUAUAAAGUUUUCUUUAAUCUUUAAGAAUUUUAAAAGACUUGCUUGAAAAAUAUGGCUAAGUAUGUCAAAUACCUUACAUCCUUGAAGUUUCGCUAAUUGGAAGUACUUCUGGCUCAAAUAUAAAUUAUCGCCAAACAUCCAGACCUAUUAUCAGUGAAACUAAUUGUAUAUCGGUGAAAAAUAAUUUUCCCCGCAAAUCAAUUUCCUUUUGGCAAAUAAUUGUUCUUAGUGUAGUGUAGUAACGUAUGUAUUAAUAUAAAGUGUUUAGGACCGUCAUGUGACGACCACUGCAUUCGGAAAAAAUACAAGGUAUACACCCUUUCUUUAAAAACAAUUUUAUAAGAAAAAGAGCCUCCAAAUUGGUCAAAAUCUUAGAACAAAUUAAGAACAAGCUGAGGCUGAGCUACUAUAAAAUGCAAUUUUCAACAACGUUUUAUCUCAAAAACGAGGAUAUUUAGCCAUGUGUGGGUGCUUUUCUGGCGAUUAUUCAAUUUUUUCGGCAAAUGAAGUUAGUCUGAACACCUCCUUAGACAAAAAAAGCUAGCAAUCACACUGCUUACACCCUAUCAAUUUAAGAGCAAAUUAAGAACAAUUCAACCUCAGAUUUUCGAAAACUAUAAAAAAAUCAUCCAGAACCUAAAUUUAUUGGUUGUUAUAAAAAAGAGUGUACUGCGGAUACAAGACGCUAUAGUAAGUUAUAAGGCUGAAAUGUUCAAUCGUCUGCAUCUUUGAGAUUUCCAUUUUCUGGCGCCUCAUAGCCGUUAGCUUGCUUGUUAUGGCAAUUUAUUUGCAAUAUUUUGAAAAAGAAAGUUGACUAUGACCAACCAUGACCAACAAAGAAAAAGAAAAACUUCCCAAUCAAUUCUAAGGUCCCCUCCCCCCCUCCAAUUUGUCCAUCCUCGCCACAGAUUUUAUUGGAGAUGUGAAAAUAACGUAAUUGAUUUUAACUGUUCAUGUGCCUAUGAUGCAGAUUUUUGAAAGCCAGAACCUCCGAAUAAAUAUCUCACCAACAAUUUAGUAUGGUGGCUCAUAGCUGCUGCCACCAUUAAAUAUUGUACGAAUGUGAAUGUGAAAUAUGCAAAAAGAUUUGCAAAAAGUGAUGGAAAUGAUAAAACCCUAUUAGAUCACUUCUAUCUUUUUUUAAAAGUUGACACUGACACACAACUUCCAAGUGAAAUACAACUUCCAUUGGAAUUAGAAUAGAGUAUGAAAAAUUUAGCUUCAUGUUUCCUGGGGAAAAAUGCAUUCUUACUCCCUACUAUUUACAGCCCUGGACUUGCCUGCGGCCCUUUGACCUAGGCAGGCGAUAUCUGAUAUUCAAGAGUUUUGCGAUCAAAUCACUUUAGGUAAUCUUAGCACUGUUUCACAUGUCUUGCCGUGCCGUACCGUGCUGCACUGUACCGCAUCGCGCAUUACCGUGCCGUGCCGUCAAAUGAACUUUGGUUAAACUGUUGUUUAUGUUCUCUUAUCUUAUCUUGAUUUUAACUGUUGUGGAAAUCCUUGCAUCAUGAACCUGGUUUAGAGGGAGCCUUAUGAAAAUCUCACAAAAUUUGAAAAAUUAAUUCUAAAAACUAUUUGAAAAUAUGUGACAACAUAUAACAAUAGCAGCCUAUCUUCAGCUGUAGUUGCAAAGAUAUUGAUUGUUACUGUCAAGCAAUACAUUCCUGAAUAUGUUGCGGUAGGACACCACUGGAAUUAGUACCAGGCUGACUGAGACGCGGGCCUCUUGCCGCAGAGCACGCGACGGGCGAACCGAGAGCAAAUUUGGUUCCAUCCUAGUCGCGCUAUUCCCAACUAGUUGAAAAUAGGGGAGAUUAUGUCAGUGCAUAGUGCAAUCGUAUUGGACAAAUGAUUGCGCGAUUGGUGACAAAUGAUUUCCAUUAAACGUAUUCAACGCUAAUUGUGCAGUCCUGAUGUCUCACAAGACACGGCGAAUUAGUAUAUUAGCCGCAAAAAUAGCAACUUAAUAGCAAACCAAUCAAUAAGAAUUUGCAUUCCACCUAGAGGUACUGUGCUAGACAUGCGGUUACGCUGCGAGUUUUAGAGACAGGUUCCGUAUUAGACGCUCUGUGUAAUAAACAAAGCUUAAGAAAAAUAUUCUUACUUUUGCU